AACGAACGCUGGCGGCAUGCCUAACACAUGCAAGUCGAACGAGACCUUCGGGUCUAGUGGCGCACGGGUGCGUAACGCGUGGGAACCUGCCCUUAGGUUCGGAAUAACUCCCCGAAAGGGGUGCUAAUACCGGAUAAUGUCUUCGGACCAAAGAUUUAUCGCCUUUGGAUGGGCCCGCGUUGGAUUAGCUAGUUGGUAGGGUAAAAGCCUACCAAGGCGUCGAUCCAUAGCUGGUCUGAGAGGAUGAUCAGCCACACUGGGACUGAGACACGGCCCAGAAUCCUACGGGAGGCAGGAGUGGGGAAUAUUGGAAAAUGGGGGAAAGGCUGAUCCAGCAAUGCCGCGUGAGUGAUGAAGGCCUUAGGGUUGUAAAGCUCUUUUACCCGGGAUGAUAAUGACAGUACCGGGAGAAUAAGCACCGGCUAACUCCGUG
rnacentral:rRNA from 1 species